GGUGGCUCAGUGGUAGAGCGCUUGCCUUGAAUGAAUGAGGUCCUGGGUUCGAUUCCUCAGCACCA
rnacentral:tRNA from 1 species